GAUGAACGCUGGCGGCGUGCCUAAUACAUGCAAGUCGAGCGAACAGAUAAGGAGCUUGCUCCUUUGACGUUAGCGGCGGACGGGUGAGUAACACGUGGAUAACCUACCUAUAAGACUGUGAUAACUUCGGGAAACCGGAGCUAAUACCGGAUAACAUAUUGAACCGCAUGGUUCAAUAGUUAAAGGCGGCUUUGCUGUCACUUAUAGAUGGAUCCGCGCCGUAUUAGCUAGUUGGUAAGGUAACGGCUUACCAAGGCAACGAUACGUAGCCGACCUGAGGGGGUGAUCGGCCACACUGGAACUGAGAAACGGUCCAGACUCCUACGGGAGGCAGCAGUAGGGAAUCUUCCGCAAUGGGCGAAAGCCUGACGGAGCAACGCCGCGUGAGUGAUGAAGGUCUUCGGAUCGUAAAACUCUGUUAUCAGGGGAGAACAAAUGUGUAAGUAACUGUGCACAUCUUGACGGUACCUGAUCAGAAAGCCACGGCUAACUACGUGCCAGCAGCCGCGGUAA
rnacentral:rRNA from 1 species